GAUCCUGGCCUGCUGCGCAUGCGGGCACUUUGGCCGGAAGAGGACCUCUCCCCCUCCCUCUCCAUUCCCAACUGCCAGUGCCCUGCUGAGGGGAGGGACAGCCAAGGCACCCCUGCUGGGAGCUCCCAGACCCGCUGCGGCGAGGGGAGGGGCGUGGCGUCCCCACCCCCCCCACCCAGACAGCUGAGCUGCAGUAGCGGCUCCAGACCUCCCGCCAGGCUAGGCGCUGGGCCUCUCAGGCUCCAGAGGCCAAGACGGGUGCGAGCAGAUGCUGGCCCUCUCCUGGGGGUCCCGAAGCGCCCAGACUCCACAGGCUUCGAGCUACACCUGAGCCAGGUCAACAACCAGUGAGGAUUCUGCCACCUAUGAGUGAGUGUUAACUUAGAACAUACUUCAUGGAAUCUCCUGAAUGAUUUGAGUAUUUGCAUUUGCACAGAGCACAGUUCCUUUGGUAAAUGCUCUGAGAUUUCUCAGAGGAAGGGUAGGUUGAAAUACUACAUCACUUAUUUUGGAUGAUAUUCCAGAUUUCUUAUUAAAAAAUAUCUGUUAUUUAUUUCAAAAUCUAUGGAUAUGGAAAUGAUCCACCUUUGAUGACUGGAUGAAGAGCCAUGAUUGUUCUGAAUCACAUCUGGUGAGUCAUUCAUCCUUCUGUUGUCACCAACUCAGAUUACAUUUCAUCAUCACCAUCAUCAUUGUCAUCAUCAUUGUCAGAUUAUUAACUAGGGUUUCCACAACAAAAUACUACUGACUGGGAAACUUAAGCAACAGACAUUUAUUUUCUCACAUUUCUGGAGGCUGGACCUCCAAGAUCAAGGUGGCGAUAACAGGGUUGGCCUCUAGUGGGUCCUGUCUUCCCUGCUUGUAGAUGGCUGCCUUCUCACUUUGCCCUCACAUGGCCUUUCCUUUAAGCAAACAUGGAAAUGGUAGCUCCAUUCUAUUAGUGCCCCCACCCUUCUAUAUUAAGAUUAAGAAGCAACAGCUUUUUCAGUCUCCACUAUUCAAAGCUUUCCAGCCUAUAUAUCUGGUAUAUGAAUAAAUAAUUUUUUAGAUUACUUCAGCCUCACCCAAUUUAUUUAUUUAUUUAUUUAUUUGGGCCACACCUGCAGCCUAUGGAAGUUCCCACACUAGGGGUCAAUUGGAGCUGCAGCUGAUGAUCCAUGCUACAGCCACAGCAACUUGGGAUUUGAGCCACAUCUGAGACCUACACCACAGCUUACAGAAACACCUGAGCAAGGCCAGGGAUCUAACCCACAUCCUUAUGGAUUGGACUCAUUUCCACUGUUCCAUGAUGAGAACUCAGACCUUAACAAAUUUCUAACUUCAGCCUCAUCAGACAUGCUGAGCCUGAAGUACCCAAAUGAACUGAUCAAAUUCCAAACCCACUGGAACCAUCUGAAAUAGUAAUAAAUGUUGAUGUUUUAAACCACUAAGUUUGGGGGUGAUUUCUUUUAUAAGGCAAUGGUGUCUGAAAUACUGCAGUAAUUUAGACACUCUAUUAUUAGAUAAACUAAUUGAACUAGAUGGACAGUGGGAAAAAAUAGAGAAAUAGAUACUUUGUAUAUGUAAUCAGUUGUAUUGCUGGGUCAGGUGGCACAGAUCAUUGUUAUGGAAUAAUAUUCAGCUGCUUGCCUCUUAAAAAAAUCAAUUCUUGCAAAAGUUGUAGAAAGGAGAGCUGCUUUGGAUCAGAAUGUGAUAUCGGUCAUUUUUUUUCAUCCACUUUUAUGGUCACUGUGCACUAUGUCAGAGAAAAUGCUCUGUAUAGACUCAAUGAGCAGCAGGAUCUACCUGUUACCAACUGUUGUCUGGCUCUGUCACUGCUGAGUGUCCAAAAUUCCAUCAGUAAAUUCUAUCACUAACUCCCUCAUAGGGCACAAUUCUCUAGAGAAAACAACCAGAAAUUUGUGGCAUCUUAGGUCACUAAAACUCCUCAACCUGGGAGUACUCUUGUGGAAAAUUGGGCGAAGGAUCCUGUGUUUUCACUGCUGUGGCUCAGGUCACAGAUGUGGUGUGGGUUUGAUUGCUGGCUCAGGAACUUCCACCUUAAAGAUUUCCAUAUGCAAAUCUUUAAGAGGUGGUCUGCUCACAGCUUUCCCAGAAAUAAGAGCAAUAAAUGAUUCUUUUCUAAAGGGGAGAGUCAUAAUACAUUACCAUAGUCACCAUAGUCCACCUCUUAUGCCCUUUGAAUCAAUUUCCUUUAUGCACUGUGAGCAUGGCACCCCUAGGGUCCUGUUUCUGAGGGUAACUUAUCAGAGAUCGUUAGGGGAAUGAACUGCAGUUGAUCUUAGAGCAGCAUCUUCUACUUCUCAUCUUCUUCCUUCACUGUCAAUUCUAUUCUGGCUUCACUUUUCACCCACAGCUCAACUGAUCUCCACCAUACUUUAGCUGGAGGUCUAGUCACUUCUUCAAAAAUACUCUUCCUGACACCACUGUGUUAGAGCAUCUCCUUUUCCACCUAAUAUUCAGGGCAGUUAGCUCUGCUAGUGUCGUACGAAGAGCCUCUUCUCUGAAUUACUACAGAUUGCACUCCUUCUAGUGCUCAGGGUGUAAGAUUUAAGCUAAAUUCAACACUGACAAAUGGGACAAGAAGAAGAAAGUAAAGGAUUUUAUUAUAGUAUAAUUGAUCAUUUUUGUCAACUCAUUCUGAGGCUUUCCAGGAUUUUGGAGUUUGCAGUUAGGUAAGCCAACCAACAAAUAUCCUUACAUUUAAAAACAAUUUCAUAUUUUUUUCAUUUACAACUAAAAUUAUCCUAAUUGAAACAUAUUUUUUUUGUGGCAUAUGGAGUGUCCAGGCCUGGGAUUAUAUCUGAGAUAUAGUUGUAACCUACUCCACAGCUGCAACAAUACUUUUAAUCUACUGUGCCAGGCCAGGUAUCAAACCUGUGUCUUUGGUUCUUCCAAUCCUAUUGUUCAACAGUAGGGAUUCCAUAUUUUAUAUUGAAAUAGCCUUAUAUAAUAUAUAUGUGAAAUUGGGCUAAUUUACAUCUUGUUAAGCCUUUGCAUUCUAUAUCUAUUUCUGAGCCACUAUAUGAUUUUAAUUGUAACAUUAUAAUUUGUGUUGUCUUCUGGAAUGACUCAUUACUCUUUUAAAAGUUAAAUGCAAUUUGCAUACAUUUAUGCUUUUAGGUGAACUUUUAGAAACAAAGAACUAUCAGGCAUAGUUCAUUUUGUAUGGAAAGGAAUAGAGUAUAGUUGUACCAUUUUCCCCCAAAGAUAUAGAUUUAAUGUACUGCCAUGUUUUUUAGACUAGAAAUGUAUAUAUGACCAUACCUAAAGUAAGUUAUUUUAUUAUAUUGACAACUUCAUAAUAGUUUCUGUCUCAAUGGGAGAAGCUUGAGAGACUAUGCAAGCUAUGGUAAAUAGAAUUAGCCAAGUAGAACUGUUCAGUUUAGCCAAACAAAAGGGCUGAGAGCAGUCAGGCAAGUUUCUGGGAAUACCAUGGUCCAAGAUCAUUAGAGACAUGUUAUAAACCCUACCAGAUUCACCACUACCAUUCUUGCCUCAUAGUAACAAGAAAGAAAUGAAAGGAGCUCUAGGAGAUUUAUAGUGGGAAAUUAUUCACGCUUUGCCAUUGGAGCUCCUUAAUACAAAAGCUUACAUGUUUUUCAAAGUGUCUGCUCUGUGAAUACUUGCAGCUGGAUGACUGAGGCAGAAGAUGAAUUCUGCCACCCUGUGGUGAACACCGGGAUUUGGGAUUCAAUGCUUUAGUGCUGCAAGUGGCAAGAUGCAUCUCAUUUGAAAGACAAAUCUUAGAAAUCAUUGGAUUUUUGAGGAAAAUUUAACUUCAUCACAAAUGCCUGUUGUGUCAUGGAUAAUGUCAAAGGGUCAUUUGCAAAAUGAUGGAGUAGCAUUACAAAUCUUAAUGAAGUUGAAAUAGCAUAUCCUGUUUUGGCCAUGGUGGUCACUGCCCCAGGAAGGGCAUUGGCUGCACUUGUCAUGGGUCAGGAGGGUUGUCCUGGGCCCUGUGGCUGCAUGUUCAAUGGGCCCAGGAAGGACUUGUGUCUGGGGCCUUGGUGGGGCUGCAGGGCUAGGCCUGCAGUGUUGCCCUGAGGGUGACCUUGGCCCGUGCUGAGGGGCAAAGGUCCCAACACUCGGGCUCAAACCCGAUGUCAACCUGCCACUUCACUGGACACUCAUAGUUCUUGGGGAUGUUGGGAAGGGAGGUCCAUCUCCAGGGCCACAUUCGGUCCUGAGGUAUGCAGAGGGAUGGGAAUAGGCAGGACAGACUCAGAGACUCUUGGGCCCUCAGGGGGCAUCCUGAUGCCACGGCCCCCUCUUGAUGGUGCUCUUCAGCCUGUAAGCAGGCCUGGCUGGGUGAGGGUCUUUGCUGCUGGUGCUGGGCAGGUGGGCCAUGGAGAGCUGGCCCGUCCUCUCCAGGGAGUUCCCUGGUGCUUGUAGUGAUAGGGCAAGGCCUGGGUUCCAGGGAUGGUCG
rnacentral:lncRNA from 9 species